UACGUAGGGUGCGAGCGUUGUCCGGAAUUACUGGGCGUAAAGAGCUCGUAGGUGGUUUGUCGCGUUGUUCGUGAAAACUCACAGCUCAACUGUGGGCGUGCGGGCGAUACGGGCAGACUGGAGUACUGCAGGGGAGACUGGAAUUCCUGGUGUAGCGGUGGAAUGCGCAGAUAUCAGGAGGAACACCGGUGGCGAAGGCGGGUCUCUGGGCAGUAACUGACGCUGGAGGCGCGAAAGCGUUGGGGAGCAAACAGG
rnacentral:rRNA from 1 species